ACAUCUGAAUACAUAAAUUAUAUUAAUUAAAAAAAUGUAUGAAUACAUUCAUGGAAUAUAUCAAGACAAUGAAUACAAUAAAAAAUAUAAAAUACAGCGAGAUAAAUUGAGAUACAAUUCAAAAAAAUAUAAUGAAUAAAAUGAAAUAUAUAAAAAUACAGCGAGAUACAUUGAAAUAUGAUUAAAGCAAAAAAAAUUUUAGAGACUCCUUAGAGCAAGCAUUUAGGGCCCGUUUGGAUAUUCAAAUUUGAUGUCACUAGCCUACACAACCCCCCUUUAUUCUUUCCUCUCUUUCACCAUGUCUGUUGUGGUCUCCUUAUGACCACAUUCAGCUAUGACUCAACCCAACAACAACACUCCUCCACUUUGUAACUUAUCCCACAACAUCUUAAUGAGCUCUUCUCAAUGUUAUUAUCCUCGGUUUCACCACUCGAAAUGUUGAAGACCCUUAAACCCAAGCGUUUUUCUUAUUUGGGCCGUCUUCAAUUUUCUUUAAUACCCGGAAUUUUUGCUUCACUAGGCAAGAUUUUUUGGAACCUAACUUGCUAUUGAAUUUCCUUCAUGGAGCAGGAGAGAACUCGUUGGUUAUUAUAUAAAGCGUUGAGAAAGAGAUGGUGGAGAAAAAUCUGGAAAAAUGAGAGAGAAAAAUAAUACAAAAC
rnacentral:lncRNA from 1 species